rnacentral:rRNA from 1 species
GACGAACGCUGGCGGCGUGCUUAACACAUGCAAGUCGAACGGAAAGGUCUCUUCGGAGAUACUCGAGUGGCGAACGGGUGAGUAACACGUGGGCAAUCUGCCCUGCACUUCGGGAUAAGCCUGGGAAACUGGGUCUAAUACCGAAUAGGACCACUUGGCGCAUGCCUUGUGGUGGAAAGCUUUUGCGGUGUGGGAUGGGCCCGCGGCCUAUCAGCUUGUUGGUGGGGUGAUGGCCUACCAAGGCGACGACGGGUAGCCGGCCUGAGAGGGUGUCCGGCCACACUGGAGACUGAGAUACUGGCCCAGACUCCUACGGGAGGCAGCAGUGGGGAAUAUUGCACAAUGGGCGCAAGCCUGAUGCAGCGACGCCGCGUGGGGGAUGACGGCCUUCGGGUUGUAAACCUCUUUCACCAUCGACGAAGGUCCGGGUUUUCUCGGAUUGACGGUAGGUGGAGAAGAAGCACCGGCCAACUACGUGCCAGCAGCCGCGGUA